AAUGCCCAUAGAGGCGCUGCUGUGUCAUAUUUGUGUCAGUAGGUGGCAGAGAGGAGCGAUGCUAUGUCUAUGCUUAGUGUUUUCACCCAUUAACAGUUGCAUGAUUAGCGGCAUGACAUU
rnacentral:snoRNA from 1 species